rnacentral:tRNA from 1 species
GCCGCCGUGGCUAAGAGGCAUAGCGACGCCUUGGUAAGGCGUAAGUCGCGGGUUCAACUCCCGUCGGCGGCUCCA